CAGCCGCCACGGUAAUACGUAGGUGGCAAGCGUUGUCCGGAAUUAUUGGGCGUAAAGGGCUCGCAGGCGGUUUCUUAAGUCUGAUGUGAAAGCCCCCGGCUCAACCGGGGAGGGUCAUUGGAAACUGGGAGACUUGAGUGCAGAAGAGGAGAGUGGAAUUCCACGUGUAGCGGUGAAAUGCGUAGAGAUGUGGAGGAACACCAGCGGCGAAGGCGACUCUCUGGUCUGUAACUGACGCUGAGGAGCGAAAGCGUGGGGAGCGAACAGGAUUAGAUACCCGAGUAGUCCCUGUCUCUUAUAC
rnacentral:rRNA from 1 species